rnacentral:rRNA from 1 species
GACGAACGCUGGCGGCGUGCCUAAUACAUGCAAGUCGAGCGAAGUUUUUCUGGUGCUUGCACUAGAAAAACUUAGCGGCGAACGGGUGAGUAACACGUAAAGAACCUGCCUCAUAGGCUGGGACAACUAUUGGAAACGAUAGCUAAUACCGGAUAACAGCAUUAACUGCAUGGUUGAUGUUUAAAAGUUGGUUUUGCUAACACUAUGAGAUGGCUUUGCGGUGCAUUAGCUAGUUGGUGGGGUAAAGGCCUACCAAGGCGACGAUGCAUAGCCGACCUGAGAGGGUGAUCGGCCACACUGGGACUGAGACACGGCCCAGACUCCUACGGGAGGCAGCAGUAGGGAAUCUUCCGCAAUGGGCGAAAGCCUGACGGAGCAACGCCGCGUGAGUGAAGAAGGAUUUCGGUUCGUAAAGCUCUGUUGUUAGGGAAGAAUGAUUGUGUAGUAACUAUACACAGUAGAGACGGUACCUAACCAGAAAGCCACGGCUAACUACGUG